rnacentral:rRNA from 1 species
AGGGUGUAAACGCUGCAGACUUGGUGUUGGAGGCCCUUUGGGGGGCGAUUCAGUGCCGGAGAGAAGUUGUUAAGUCUGCUACUUGGGGAGUACGUCCGCAAGGAUGAAACUUAAAGGAAUUGGCGGGGGGAGGCACCGCAACGGGAGGAGCGUGCGGUUUAAUUGGAUUCAACACCGUAAAACUCACCAGGGAAGACUGUUACAUGAAGGCCGAGAUGAAGACUCUGCUAGAUUUUCAGAGAGGAGGUGCAUGGCGUCAGUGACU